rnacentral:rRNA from 1 species
CCUACGGGUGGCAGCAGUAGGGAAUCUUGCUCAAUGGGGGAAACCCUGAAGCAGCAACGCCGCGUGGGGGAUGACGGUUUUCGGAUUGUAAACUCCUUUUUUUAGAGACGAUAAUGACGGUAUCUAACGAAUAAGCACCGGCUAACUACGUGCCAACAGCCGCGGUAAUACGGAGGUUGCAAGCGUUACUCGCAAUCGCUGGGCGUAAAGAGCGCGUAGGCGGGAUAGCAGAGUAGAUGUGAAAUCCUAUGGCUUAACCAUAGACCUGCAUUGGAGACUGUUAUUCUAGAGUAUGGGAGAGGUAGGUGGAAUUCUUGGUGUAGGGGUAAAAUCCGUAGAGAUUAAGAGGAAUACUCAUGGCGAAGGCGACCUGCUAGAACAUAACUGACGCUGAGGCGCGAAAGCGUGGGGAGCAAACAGGAUUAGAUACCCGAGUAGUC